rnacentral:rRNA from 1 species
GAUGAACGCUGGCGGCGUGCCUAAUACAUGCAAGUCGAGCGAACAGACGAGGAGCUUGCUCCUCUGACGUUAGCGGCGGACGGGUGAGUAACACGUGGAUAACCUACCUAUAAGACUGGGAUAACUUCGGGAAACCGGAGCUAAUACCGGAUAACAUGUUGAACCACAUGGUUCAACAGUGAAAGACGGUCUUGCUGUCACUUAUAGAUGGAUCCGCGCCGCAUUAGCUAGUUGGUAAGGUAACGGCUUACCAAGGCAACGAUGCGUGCCGACCUGAGAGGGUGAUCGGCCACACUGGAACUGAGACACGGUCCAGACUCCUACGGGAGGCAGCAGUAGGGAAUCUUCCGCAAUGGGCGAAAGCCUGACGGAGCAACGCCGCGUGAGUGAAGAAGGUCUUCGGAUCGUAAAACUCUGUUAUUAGGGAAGAACAAAUGUGUAAGUAACUAUGCACGUCUUGACGGUACCUAAUCAGAAAGCCACGGCUAACUACGUG